rnacentral:rRNA from 1 species
UACCUGCAGCUCAAGUGGUGAUCACUAUUAUUGGGCCUAAAACGUCCGUAGCCGGUUUAUUAAACGCCUGGGUAAAUCGUGUAGCUUAACUAUACGAAUUCCGGGUAGACUGUUAAACUUGAGACCGGGAGAAGCUAGAGGUACUCCUGGGGUAGAGGUGAAAUUCUGUAAUCCUAGGGGGACCACCAGUGGCGAAGGCGUCUAGCUAGAACGGGUCUGACGGUGAGGGACGAAGCCCUGGGGCACAAACCGGAUUAGAUACCCGGGUAGUCCAGGGUGUAAACGCUGCUUGCUUGAUGUUAGUUGGGCUCCGAGCCCAGCUAGUGUCGGAGAGAAGUUGUUAAGCAAGCUGCCUGGGAAGUACGGUCGCAAGGCUGAAACUUAAAGGAAUUGGCGGGGGAGCACAGCAACGGGUGGAGCGUGCGGUUU